UAGCUCAGUUGGUAGAGCAUACGACUGAAAAUCGUAGUGUCGACAGUUCGAUUCUGUC
rnacentral:tRNA from 1 species